CCCCAGAUGUUGCUGAACUACAACUCCCAUGAUAUCUAUGUAAUUCAAAGAAUCAUGGGAGUUGUAGUUCAGCAACAUCUGGGG